ACUCAUUACCAGCCUCUGUUUUUUCCCACUUGGCUCAGGCACCAGCAGGACAGCACCCAUGGGUGAGCCAUGUGCCAGGGUCACGCACAGCUCCUGCUUUGGCUGCUCUGAGGGAGCAGCCAGCCAGCCGGCAGCAAGCACGGAAGUGAUCCAUAUUAAAAACAGUUGCUAGAAGACUGGGGGAGAAGAGUAGUCAGUCAGGGUCAUGGCCCUCAUCUAUUUCACCAUUUCCUCCAGUUCCACUUAAAAGCCUGAGCAAUAAAUUGACCCAACCCCAGCCCAUGCCGCCUCCCACCACUCCUCUAAAGAUGGAUGCGGUCCAGCUUUUAUCAUAUUGAAGGACGUCAAAGUAGUUUUUGAAGGAGAAGAGAAAAAGAGGGAGGGAAAGAAAAA